rnacentral:rRNA from 1 species
AUUCCAAUCGAACUCGGAUAUAGCUGGUUCUCCCCGAAAUAGCUUUAGGGCUAGCCUCGGAUUAGUUUAGCGGAGGUAAAGCACUGAAUGGGCUAGGGGGCGUAUAGCUUACUGAACCCUAUCAAACUCAGAAUGCCGCAAAAAUGAUGUCCGGGAGUCAGACUACGGGAGAUAAGUUUCGUGGUCGAAAGGGAAACAGCCCAGACCCACAGCUAAGGUCCCAAAAUAGGUUUAAGUGGAAAAGGAUGUCUGAUUGCAGAAACAACUAGGAUGUUGGCUUAGAAGCAGCCAUACAUUUAAAGAGUGCGUAAUAGCUCACUAGUCGAGUGAAUAGGCGCCGAAAAUUUAACGGGGCUAAAACCUAUACCGAAGCUUGGGAAUGUAACUUAGGUUACAUUGGUAGGGGAGCAUUCUAUUAUAGGGAGAAGCAUGACCGGAAGGACAUGUGGACGAGAUAGAAGAGAGAAUGCCGGAAUGAGUAGCGAGAAUUAUGUGAGAAUCAUAAUGGUCGAAAACCUAAGGUUUCUUGAGGAAGGUUCGUCCGCUCAAGGUAAGCCGGGAGCUAAGGCGAGGCCGAAAGGCGUAGUCGAUGCACAUACGGUAGAAAUUCCGUAGCCACCGAAAUUGUUAAGCACAGGGACGCAGGAACAUAAUCCAACCGCACCGAUGGUCGAGUGCGGCGAAAGGGAGCGAAAAUUAAGUAGCGAAGUGGAUGAUUGUACACUGACGAGAAAAGCUGUGUGUAUUGAUGAGGUGCCCGUACCGUAAACCGACACAGGUGGGUGAGGAGAGAAUCCUAAGACCAGCGGGAGAAGUGUUGUUAAGGAACUCGGCAAAUUGACCCCGUAACUUCGGGAAAAGGGGUGCCUGCUAGCGCAGGCCGCAGAGAAUAGGCCCAAGCGACUGUUUAGCAAAAACACAGGUCUCUGCUAAAUCGAAAGAUGAAGUAUAGGGGCUGACGCCUGCCCGGUGCCGGAAGGUUAAGAGGAGGACUUAGCGCAAGCGAAGGUCUGAAUUGAAGCCCCGGUAAACGGCGGCCGUAACGAUAACGGUCCUAAGGUAGCGAAAUUCCUUGUCAGGUAAGUUCUGACCCGCACGAAUGGCGUAACGAUUUGGGCACUGUCUCAACAGCCUACCCGGCGAAAUUGUAGUACCGGUGAAGAUGCCGGUUACCCGCGACUAGACGGAAAGACCCCAUGGAGCUUUACUGUAACUUGAUAUUGGAUUUUGGUAUUGCAUGUACAGGAUAGGUGGGAGACAGAGAAGCACAGACGCCAGUUUGUGUGGAGUCAAUGUUGGGAUACCACUCUUGUGAUACUGGAAUUCUAACCUGCGGCCGUGAAACCGGUCGGGGGACAAUGUCUGGUGGACAGUUUGACUGGGGCGGUCGCCUCCUAAAGAGUAACGGAGGCGUUCAAAGGUUAGCUCAGUACGGUCAGAAAUCGUACGAAGAGUGCAAACGCAAAAGCAAGCCUAACUGCGAGACGAACAGGUCGAGCAGUAACGAAAGUUGGAGUUAGUGAUCCGGCGGUAAGAGAGUGGAAUUGCCGUCGCUCAACGGAUAAAAGCUACCCUGGGGAUAACAGGCUGAUCUCCCCCAAGAGUCCACAUCGACGGGGAGGUUUGGCACC